CUUAAGCCACUUGCUUACCAAGUCAAUGUAUCUCAAUUUGAGAAUUUUUAGAUAUUUAUAUUAGAAAACAAGACAAAAAAACCUAGGUAAUUCAAUAAUUGUUUGCAGUGUGAGGGAGAAGAACCAAGCCCUGAGGGAACGUAGUGAACAAGCAGCUUCGGAUGACAGCGGCUCACUUUUGGCGUUGCUUGACAACACUUUGAGGCAGGAUAAAAAGCUCCAGGAACAAUUUCUUUAGAGUAUCUUCUCUAAUCACCUUUCCAUUAAUACAACCUGGACUGGUGUAGGGAAUCAAGCAUGUUUUAGAGACCUGUUUCUGAAGACCAUUGUUCAAAGAGCCAUCCGGAAGAACCCUGCAACCCAGGAUGCCACUGAUUGGGCUGUCCAGGUUAAUGUUACGUGUUACCUGAAAGGAGCAUCUGACCGUAAAGGCGGAAAAAGGCAGUACACAGCUGAGAGGGACCCACGGAUGACCCCUUAAACCGAGGCUGACUACUGACACCCCAGCAUCGCUGACAACUGGAAACCUUUCUUUAUCCUGCAGUCAGUAACAUCAAGAACCCUAAAGAAUCCUGAAGUGUCACACUACACUCAACCAAUCCACACUUCACUUUGAAAAUUACUAUUCUUUUAUUUUUCAAAUUCCAUGUGACCCUGCCUUAAGGGCAGCUCCUCGUAUAGAUAUGGAAUGGCGAGGAUGUUUGUCCUUUAUACAGGUGCACGAGAUAAAGUACUGAUUGUAAGUGCCUCAUGCUUAUACAUUACAUUCAUGUGGAUCUUUUUUUUUAAUAUCUUUAGUGUCUUUUACUGGGUUUUUUUAGUCAUGUGGAUUUGUUCUUUUUAUCAUUCUGUUUAUGUUGGUGUGUGGUGUUAUAAGCUACUGGAACCUUGAAUUUCCCCUUGAGGGUCAAUCAAGUAUUUGUUCAUUUUUAAUUCACAAUAGACAGAUCUUAUUGCAGCAAAGUGAAAAUAUUGUGUUCCAGGUCAGCAGUGCCAUUAUAAUAGUCUAUUCUAGUCCAGAGCUUUACUCUAGGAUAAGUGGUAAUAAUUUAUUGUUAGAAAUGACGAUUUAUUUGGUAUGCUGCACGUUCUUUGGUACCAAAUAUCCUCAUUACUUAAUUUUAUGUUUACUGGUAGCCAAAUUCUUUUCAUCCCAGAGCUGACCUCUAAAUUAUUAACAAUUGUUGUAAAUGAUAUGUUCUAAUUUGCUUGUAAUGUUUUUUUAAACUAGAAUUUAUUUGGAAACCUGCAUGUAUUUAGUACUUUUUUAUUUUUCAGUUAUUUAUAUUUCAGUGCUCUUACACAUCUUGGUUCAAUGACUGUUACUGUACUUUGAAAUGUGGAAUAAAAAAUCCAAAUGAGAA